rnacentral:rRNA from 1 species
GACGAACGCUGGCGGCGUGCCUAAUACAUGCAAGUAGAACGCUGAAGGAGGGGCUUGCUUCUCUGGAUGAGUUGCGAACGGGUGAGUAACGCGUAGGUAACCUGCCUGGUAGCGGGGGAUAACUAUUGGAAACGAUAGCUAAUACCGCAUAAUAGCAGUUGUUGCAUGACAACUGUUUGAAAGGUGCAAUUGCACCACUACCAGAUGGACCUGCGUUGUAUUAGCUAGUUGGUGGGGUAACGGCUCACCAAGGCGACGAUACAUAGCCGACCUGAGAGGGUGAUCGGCCACACUGGGACUGAGACACGGCCCAGACUCCUACGGGAGGCAGCAGUAGGGAAUCUUCGGCAAUGGACGGAAGUCUGACCGAGCAACGCCGCGUGAGUGAAGAAGGUUUUCGGAUCGUAAAGCUCUGUUGUAAGAGAAGAACGAGUGUGAGAGUGGAAAGUUCACACUGUGACGGUAUCUUACCAGAAAGGGACGGCUAACUACGUG